rnacentral:rRNA from 1 species
UGGCUCAGAACGAACGCUGGCGGCGCGUUUAAGCAUGCAAGUCGAGCGGCAAGGGCCUUCGGGCCCCUAGAGCGGCGGACGGGUGAGUAACACGUGGACAAGUCUGCCCCCCGGCCCGGGAUAGCCCAGGGAAACCUGGAUUAAUACCGGAUGAGACGGGACCCGCGAUGGCGGGACCCGGGAAAGGCGCUGCGGCGCCGCCGGGGGAUGAGUCUGCGUCCCAUUAGCUAGACGGCGGGGUAACGGCCCACCGUGGCGACGAUGGGUAGCCGGCCUGAGAGGGUGGACGGCCACAUUGGAACUGAGACACGGUCCAGACUCCUACGGGAGGCAGCAGCUAAGAAUCUUCCGCAAUGGGCGAAAGCCUGACGGAAGCGACGCCGCGUGAACGAAGAAGGCCGUGAGGUUGUAAAGUUCUUUUCGGGAGGGGGAACAACCGUGGCAGGGAAUGGCCGCGGGAUGACGUGAAUCCCGGAAUAAGCCCCGGCUAACUACGUGCCAGCCGCCGC